rnacentral:rRNA from 1 species
UACGUAGGGCGCAAGCGUUAAUCGGAAUUACUGGGCGUAAAGCGUGCGCAGGCGGCUUUGCAAGACAGAUGUGAAAUCCCCGGGCUCAACCUGGGAACUGCAUUUGUGACUGCAUGGCUAGAGUGCGGCAGAGGGGGAUGGAAUUCCGCGUGUAGCAGUGAAAUGCGUAGAUAUGCGGAGGAACACCGAUGGCGAAGGCAAUCCCCUGGGCCUGCACUGACGCUCAUGCACGAAAGCGUGGGGAGCAAACAGG